AUUGAACGCUGGCGGCAGGCCUAACACAUGCAAGUCGAGCGGAUGAAGGGAGCUUGCUCCUGGAUUCAGCGGCGGACGGGUGAGUAAUGCCUAGGAAUCUGCCUGGUAGUGGGGGAUAACGUCCGGAAACGGGCGCUAAUACCGCAUACGUCCUGAGGGAGAAAGUGGGGGAUCUUCGGACCUCACGCUAUCAGACGAGCCUAGGUCGGAUUAGCUAGUUGGUGGGGUAAAGGCCUACCAAGGCGACGAUCCGUAACUGGUCUGAGAGGAUGAUCAGUCACACUGGAACUGAGACACGGUCCAGACUCCUACGGGGGGCAGCAGUGGGGAAUAUUGGACAAUGGGCGAAAGCCUGAUCCAGCCAUGCCGCGUGUGUGAAGAAGGUCUUCGGAUUGUAAAGCACUUUAAGUUGGGAGGAAGGGCAGUAAGUUAAUACCUUGCUGUUUUGACGUUACCAACAGAAUAAGCACCGGCUAACUUCGUG
rnacentral:rRNA from 1 species